GACGAACGCUGGCGGCGUGCUUAACACAUGCAAGUCGAACGGAAAGGCCCUGCUUUUGUGGGGUGCUCGAGUGGCGAACGGGUGAGUAACACGUGAGUAACCUGCCCUUGACUUUGGGAUAACUUCAGGAAACUGGGGCUAAUACCGGAUAGGAGCUCCUGCUGCAUGGUGGGGGUUGGAAAGUUUCGGCGGUUGGGGAUGGACUCGCGGCUUAUCAGCUUGUUGGUGGGGUAGUGGCUUACCAAGGCUUUGACGGGUAGCCGGCCUGAGAGGGUGACCGGCCCCAUGGGGCUGGGGUUCCGGCCCGAAUCCUUCGGGGGGCAGGCGUGGGGGAUAUUGCACCAUGGGCGGAAGGCCGAUGGCGGCACCCCGCCUUGCGGGUGAACGCCUUCCGGUUGUAAACCCCCUUUGGCUUUGAACAAGGGUUAGGUGACGUAAUUGGUAAAGAAGCACCGGCUAACUACGUG
rnacentral:rRNA from 1 species